AAUCAACGCUGGCGGCGUGCCUAACACAUGCAAGUCGAACGCGAAAGUCCCGCAAGGGAUUAGUAGAGUGGCAAACGGGUGAGUAACACGUGGGUGACCUGCCUUCGAGCGGGGGAUAACGUCCCGAAAGGGACGCUAAUACCGCAUAACAUCCUGCCUUUUAAGAGGUGGCGAUCAAAGCCGGGGAUUCGCAAGAACCUGGCACUUGAAGAGGGGCCCGCGCCUGAUUAGCUAGUUGGGGGAUAAUGGCCUACCAAGGCAACGAUCAGUAUCCGGCCUGAGAGGGCGGACGGACACACUGGGACUGAGACACGGCCCAGACUCCUACGGGAGGCAGCAGUGGGGAAUUGUUCGCAAUGGGCGCAAGCCUGACGACGCGACGCCGCGUGGAGGAUGAAGACCU
rnacentral:rRNA from 1 species